rnacentral:rRNA from 1 species
GACGAACGCUGGCGGCGUGCUUAACACAUGCAAGUCGAACGGAAAGGCCCUGCUUUUGUGGGGUGCUCGAGUGGCGAACGGGUGAGUAACAGGUGAGUAACCUGCCCUUGACUUUGGGAUAACUUCAGGAAACUGGGGCUAAUACCGGAUAGGAGCUCCUGCUGCAUGGUGGGGGGGGGAAAGUUUCGGCGGUUGGGGAUGGACUGGCGGCUUAUCAGCUUGUUGGUGGGGUAGGGGCUUACCAAGGCUUUGACGGGUAGGCGGCCUGGGAGGGUGACCGGCCACAUUGGUACUGAGGUACGGCCCAGAGUCCUACGGGAGGCAGCGGUGGGGAAUAUUGCACAAUGGGCGGAAGCCUGAUGCAGCAACGCCGCGUGCGGGAUGACGGCCUUCGGGUUGUAAACCGCUUUCGCCUGUGACGAAGCGUGAGUGACGGUAAUGGGUAAAGAAGCACCGGCUAACUACGUG